GACGAACGCUGGCGGCGUGCUUAACACAUGCAAGUCGAGCGGUAAGGCCCUUUUGGGGGUACACGAGCGGCGAACGGGUGAGUAACACGUGGGUGACCUGCCCUCAGCUCUGGGAUAAGCCUGGGAAACUGGGUCUAAUACUGGAUAUGACCUUUCCUCGCAUAGGGUUGGGUGGUAAAGUUUUUCGGCUGGGGAUGGGCCCGCGGCCUAUCAGCUUGUUGGUGGGGUGAUGGCCUACCAAGGCGACGACGGGUAGCCGGCCUGAGAGGGCGACCGGCCACACUGGGACUGAGACACGGCCCAGACUCCUACGGGAGGCAGCAGUGGGGAAUAUUGCGCAAUGGGCGGAAGCCUGACGCAGCGACGCCGCGUGGGGAUGACGGCCU
rnacentral:rRNA from 1 species